CAUGUUACAUGCAAAGAACAUCGUUCUCAUUGAACAACAAAGUACAUUUCAGGGCUGAAUUCCAAAUGCGCAAACAGUCACACACCCGCCUCUCUGCUCGAGGUAGUGGUGAGUACCCAUGGGAUUAUGCAAGAUAUCGGUGUGGCCAGCCUGUAACGGCAGCAGGUUUGACGCAGGUGAAAGGACAGACAGACUGACCACAGGAAUCAAACCUUUGUUGGUGUACCAGUUUCACAAUGUUCAGGGACCGGUAUGCAGUUCUGCCUUCUCCUCAGCUGCACAAGCAGCCUGUUGUGAAAGGCCUCCAGCAUCUCAUGCAGCCGGAGCGUUGGCUAUCUGGAAGCGAAUGUCUCUGAAUGCCAAGGAGCGCUGACUACGGACGGCCAGAUCCCCCAUGUCAUUGCAAAGGCCUUUGGCAACGGGAGUCACACCUCCCUGGGCUUUCUAAUCCUGUUCCACACAGUGGCGAAGUCGCAGAGGCUUCGGUUGAACUGACUCAUCGUCUGCAGACACUUUGGGAAAGUGGGUGUGUCUCCUCCGAGUGUGACAGCAACGUGGUCCUGAGUCCUGCCUGAGGCACAGAGCCAUUCGACAAGUCCUGUAGAGAGCUCUGUAGGUUAGUCUAUGCCACUGCUCCAUUUGCGUUUCUGUUCUUCCCAAGCUGGACGUGGUCCUUACCGUGCUUCAUGAUAUGUCACCCCAUGGUUCGUGCCUGGUUUUGCUCAUUUCCAAAGGACAGGUUUUGAGUGACAGCUAUAAUGCCACAGUCCUGGUGUCUAGCCCUCGCCAUCUCUACAUAGGAGUAGGCAAGAUUGGAGUUUGCUUUCUCUCUUGAACAAGCAGGACUCACUUUAGUGUCAAGAAAGUCCCCUAAGACAGACAGGAGUUUGAGCCAUGCUAAGCAGCUACUGGCAAACUCUAGCCUGGCUAGAGGCAUGGACAAGGGAAAAGGCAGGGAUCCACAAAACAUCAGGGCACCGUGAUAGACUCCCGGAGCGUGGUUUGAGCAUACGUUUCUCCAGUUUGGUUUGGUGGGAGGCCACAGCAGGGAGCUCAGGAUCCUGACUUAGAUCAUUGAGCAGUAGCCACCCGUUGACCUUGUGACUCCAGCCUAUUCCAGUCUUGCUGAGGCCCAGGAGCUGUGACAUAUUCCUUGCCAUGAAAGGCUUUCAUCACUUCUGUUAAAAUGAGUCAUGGUAAUCAAUUUGACAGUUUACACCAGGACUUAC
ensembl:lncRNA